rnacentral:lncRNA from 1 species
GGCGGAUGACUGGGUGGAUGGAACUGUACAGGGUGAUGACUGGGUGGAUGGAACUGUACAGGGUGAUGACUGGGUGGAUGGAACUGUACAGGCUGAUGACUGGGUGGAUGGAACUGUACAGGGUGGAUGACUGGGUGGGUGGAUGGAACUGUACAGGCUGAUGACAGGGUGGAUGGAACUGUACAGGCUGAUGACUGGGUGGAUGGAACUGUACAGGCUGACUGGGUGGAUGGAACUGUACAGGCUGAUGACUGGGUGGAUGGAACUGUACAGGGUGGAUGACUGGGUGGAUGGAACUGUACAGGGUGGAUGGAACUGUACAGGGUGGAUGACUGGGUGGAUGGAACUGUACAGGGUGGUGACUGGGUGGAUGGAACUGUACAGGGUGAUGACUGGGUGGAUGGAACUGUACAGGGUGGAUGGAACUGUACAAGGUGAUGACUGGGUGGAUGGAACUGAUGGUCUACCUCUCUCAUUCACUCUACAUGCCACCACGUCAUUGGGUGGUUCUGACAAACUUGAACUGUGGGAAGACAAAAUAAAGGCUUUAUUCUUAAAUGAAAUGUGUCUUUGUCAAU